ensembl:misc_RNA Metazoa_SRP Metazoan signal recognition particle RNA
GCUGGGCAUGGUGCCGCAUGCCUGUAGUUCCAGCUAUUUGGGAGGCUGAGGCAGGAGGAUUGCUUGAGUCCAGGAAGUUGAGGCUGCAGUGAGCUAUGAUGGUGUCACUGCAUUCCAGCCUGAGCAACAGAGCAAGACCCUGUCUUAA